rnacentral:lncRNA from 1 species
GUUUACGCCAUCUAUAGUUAUAUAAUGGUGACAUCAUAGAACAAAAUAGCUUAAUGACGUCAUCCAUAGUUACUUCACCGGUGACGACACUUCAAUAUCGUUAUGAUAUCAUUGUUAAUUCGAACAUCACUCUUAAGCGGCGGUCGCACCUUGCGAUUUUUAGCCGCGAUCGCGACCGAAACUGGCUCUUCUCUCUAACUCGUAAACCCCCUCCGAACCGGUCGCUGAUGCGACGUCGCUGGUCAACAAAAAGUUUGUUCCUGUGGCGAUGGUUCCACUGCACAUCCAAUGAGAAGCUGU